UACGUAGGGGGCAAGCGUUAUCCGGAUUUACUGGGUGUAAAGGGAGCGUAGACGGCAGGGCAAGUCUGGAGUGAAAGCCCGCAGCUCAACUGCGGGACUGCUUUUGAAACUGCCAGGCUAGAGUGUCGGAGAGGUAAGUGGAAUUCCUAGUGUAGCGGUGAAAUGCGUAGAUAUUAGGAGGAACACCAGUGGCGAAGGCGGCUUACUGGACUGUAACUGACGUUGAGGCUCGAAAGCGUGGGGAGCAAACAGG
rnacentral:rRNA from 1 species